AACAGAGACUCCAAUGACAUUUACCUCUACAAAGUGGUGAAGGUGAUCAAGGUUCAAGGACAGGUGGUGGAGGGUUACAAGUACAUUAUAACUGUACGAAUUGCAAGAACCCUGUGCAGGAAGGACAGUGUGAUUGGAUUGUGCUCCAUCACAAAUCACCCUAACGUCAAGAUUUUCCUUUGCAAAUUCGUCGUGUGGAGCCGUCCAUGGCUCAAUGAUUGGCAGGUGCUAGAAGCAAAGUGCCAUUAGAAGACCAAAAUGGAGAUCCUGAUGUAUUCAAAAUUGCCUUUAGAAAUGAAAAUAGAAAUAUUUUUUUUCUAAAAGUCCAAAACUACAACGGCAUUCAAUCAAUAAAACAUUUUAUUCAAGAA